GAUGAACGCUGGCGGCGUGCCUAAUACAUGCAAGUCGAGCGAACAGAUAAGGAGCUUGCUCCUUUGACGUUAGCGGCGGACGGGUGAGUAACACGUGGGUAACCUACCUAUAAGACUGGGAUAACUUCGGGAAACCGGAGCUAAUACCGGAUAACAUUUAGAACCGCAUGGUUCUAAAGUGAAAGAUGGUUUUGCUGUCACUUAUAGAUGGACCCGCGCCGUAUUAGCUAGUUGGUAAGGUAACGGCUUACCAAGGCGACGAUACGUAGCCGACCUGAGAGGGUGAUCGGCCACACUGGAACUGAGACACGGUCCAGACUCCUACGGGAGGCAGCAGUAGGGAAUCUUCCGCAAUGGGCGAAAGCCUGACGGAGCAACGCCGCGUGAGUGAUGAAGGGUUUCGGCUCGUAAAACUCUGUUAUUAGGGAAGAACAAAUGUGUAAGUAACUGUGCACGUCUUGACGGUACCUAAUCAGAAAGCCACGGCUAACUACGUG
rnacentral:rRNA from 1 species